rnacentral:tRNA from 1 species
UGCAGGUUAGCUCAACAGGUUAGAGCACCAGAUUUCACUCUGGAUGUAGCGGGUUCGAGUCCCGUACCGACUCCCA